rnacentral:sRNA from 1 species
CCACGAUUCACCUUCCAUUCUUCCAUGAUUCCAUUGCUUCCCAAUGUCCAAGAACUACGUCAUCUCUCUCCAUGGAUUGUGAUUUCUUGAAUUCCAAGAAGAAGAAAGAAACUUCGCAGCUUUUGACUCUAAAGCCACCUCUCUCUAAACAAGAAACGGUGACUUUCUGCCAUCUCAAUUUUGGGCGGAAGCAACCUUCGCCGGAAGAAUUGUAUCUCCAUGAAAGCUUGGAGUUUAAGAAUUUCAUUGCAAGAGAGACCUUUCUUAACGAAGAGUAUU